rnacentral:rRNA from 1 species
AGGAUUUCUGGGCUGGCCGCUGCUUGUCGGCGUGCCGCUCGUGCCUCCUACCUUGACUAUGCGUACCCUUGUUGUUCCCUCGGCAGUUCGCUGCCGCCAGGGACCCGUAAACCCUCAUGUAUCAGCAGUAAACUUCUGAAAUAAACCUAAUUAUUUACAACUUUCAACAAUGGAUCUCUUGGUUCUGGCAUCGAUGAAGAACGCAGCGAAAUGCGAUAAGUAGUGUGAAUUGCAGAAUUCAGUGAAUCAUCGAAUCUUUGAACGCACAUUGCGCCCCUUGGUAUUCCAUGGGGCAUGCCUGUUCGAGCGUCAUUUACACCCUCAAGCUCUGCUUGGUGUUGGGCGUCUGUCCCGCCUCGUGCGCGGACUCGCCCCAAAAGUAUUGGCAGCGGUUUGCCAGCCUGCAGCGUAGCACUAUUGCGCCUGCAGGUCCUGGCGGAUCGGCGUCCACCAAGCCACACCCACAGUUUGACCUCGGAUCAGGUAGGGAUACCCGCUGAACUUAAGCAUAUCAAUAGCCGGAGGAAA